rnacentral:snRNA from 1 species
AUGGAUGAGGACUCUCUGACCACAGUGUCAGUCACGCCAUUGAUGGCCAGGGUUGAUUGGCCUCACCUGGCCGUCUAGGUGGGCGUUUUCUUGCUCCUUCAACACUAUAUGUGUGUUCUUCCCCACUGCAUGCUAGAUUGAAGAGGACAAUUGCUCCCUAUACUAGAAGCCUCUUCUUUGGUCAAGUGCUUACCAAUAACUGUGACCCCCGCUGGAAAUUAUACAAACAAGCUCUCAAGGUAUCAUUCCUAUUGAUCAUGUUUGUACUAGCAUAGAGUUGAGUACCUUGAUCUGAGCCAUUGUAAGUUGGGGACCAUCUACAAAGU